rnacentral:lncRNA from 1 species
AAAAGCAAAAUUCAGGAUACUUUUGUAGGUAGACACGUCAGAUAUUAUACAAAAUUAGCUUAAAUAUUCAAACACUGUAAAAUGAGAGGCAGAUAGGAUAUUGUCUCCAAAGAGGACAUAGUGAAAACGAUACUUUGAAAUGACAAAUAGUCAAAUAUGGGCAUAACUUUUUCAUAUUAGAGAAACCUUAUUGCCUAGACAAAUGUAGUAGUAGUGUGUAUUUUACUUCUAAGAAUUUAGUGACUAAAGUACAGUGCCUUCCCCAUCAUGUUCUCAUAAUAAAAGCUCAUAUUCUGUGAACAUUUUACACUUUUUUUGAGAUGGAGUCUCCCUCUGGCACCCAGGCUGGAGUGCAGUUGUGCCAUCUCGGCUCGCUGUAAGCUCUGCCUGCUGAGUUCAAGCAAUUCUCCUGCCUCAGCUUCCUGAGCAGCUGGGAUUACAGGCACCUGCCGCCACGCCCGGCUAAUUUUUGUAUUUUUAGUAGAGACAGGCUUUCACUAUGUUGGCCAGGCUGGUCUCAAACUCCUGACCUCAAGUAAUCUGCUGGCCUCGGCCUCUCAAAGUGUUGAGAUUACAGGCGUGAGCCACUGCGUCUGGCCUACACUUUUUAAUUCUCUGAUUUCAUGAAGAGUUCUUAACUCCCCCCAGCUAAUGCUAAAAAUGUGUCCUGGUUCUUACACAGGCACUGCUAGUAACGUGGCAACCUGAGCCUGUUCCCAGGCUCAAUUCACAGGAGCCCAUGUUCAGCGGUUAUUUAAUAGCUUUGAAAUGCCAUUCACCUGUGGCCCAUUUCAAGUUUCCCAUGAUUCUUAGGAAGACCCUGGCCUCCAUCUUGAAAACGGAAAAUAAAAACAGCAGACCUAUGAAGGUCGAAGGGGAAGAAAAGCUGUAUCGAUUGUUGAGAUCUGGCGACUUGUUUAAAUUUCAUCAGCCUCACUUCUAUGAACUCUCAGGUAAAGGAUAUUCACGUGAAAUUAAGAGACAGAGUAUUUCAUUGGGAUGAAAAGAGAGCCAUUAAAAGGAAUAAUAAAUUGUGAAAACUGGGCAUGACUGUCCAGCCAGCCAUGUACUUGUAAGUUCAGAGACUGUGCAUCAGCUGGUAAACACAGAGGAAAACCAGGCUUGCCUAAUUUGAUGACACCGUGGGUGAAGUUUUCAGGACUUUGCAUACAAUCUCAGAGACUCAUUGAUAUAAAGAUGUCAGCAGUAAUCAUGGUUGAUGCUUAGAAUUAAAUGUGAAACUUAGAAUGGGCACAAAAUGGAGAUCACAAUGGAGGUUUUCUGCUUCAAAUUUAGGAAUUAUAAUGAUACACAGAAUAUUCUCUUAAUGUGAAGAUUACCAUAAGACAUAAAAAUGUAAGCCAUUUGUUGUUGAAUCUUUCUACACAUACCUCAUGGUUGCUUUAUAGCAAUAGAUAAAAUGUUUAUAAAUGGUAACUUGAGGAUAAUUGAGAAAAUUGUGGAGUGUUUGUACCUUUUGUAAUUUAUCAAUCAGAGUACUCUGACAAUCCUCUCAGGCAUUCUAAAAUGAAUAUCUGUUAUAGAGGUAAAUGGUAAAAAAAAAAAAGAAAUACAUCAUAUCUAUAGUGUCAGUUCUAAUAAUGGAGGGACUUUUAGUAUUUAUAUUCUAGGGAACAAAAUAUACUUUCUGUUAGUAAUUAUGCAGUGGGAUUAAAGAACAGAUACUGGUCAUUGUUUUAACUGAAUACAUUCCAUAGCAUAUGACUUAUGUCAAAUAAAAGAAAAUGAACUACAAGGGAGGUCUGUGUCCAAGGGACUAUUUUAGUUUCAUUAGAAUUCUGUCCUGUCACAGGAUAUGCAAUAUUCUGUGCUCCAGAUGAACAUAGAAACAAUAAGCAAAGCAGAUUUUUUUUCUUUCAUUCACUCCUAAAAGGUGAUGGCUUUUUACAAUUUUACAAAGUAAGGAUUUUAAAGUCCAUCUGAUUUGGAAUUUUCUCUUUUUUUCCUUCUUUCCUGCCUCCCUCUCACCCCAUUUUCCUUUCUCCCUCCCACUCUCUUUCGUUCCCCCUCUUGCUUGCUCUCUCAUGAUGGAGUCACAAAGGUUAUUUUUAUUUUAUUAGUAAAAUUAUUUUAAUCUUGAACCAUUACCAAGAAUAACAGACCAAAACAUCUCCCCUUCUAGUUAUUCAAUAUUCUUAGUAAUGCAAAGAAUAUAUAUAAUAUUAGCUUUUCCUUAGGAUGUUCCCAAAUUUAAGGUAAGACAUACUUUGGGAGGAAAGAAAAGCUGAGGCGGAAAAUUUGUCUGCUCUUGGUAGAGCUCCAAUCUCCCCCAAAGAUACUCCUUCACCCUCUCCCCAACCCCCCGCCCUGUGCCAUAAUUCCAGGAUGAACAUCUGGCUUGAUUUCUGUGUCAACUGCUUCUUUGCCAAGAAUUGAAGGUUAUAAAAAGAGGUUACAGACCAAAGUUACCAUGGCUGCCCACAGAGAUUUCCUAAAGAACCACUAGGGCCUACUAGGGAGUGUCAAAAAGGAAAACAGUUUCCACUCAUAAAUACCAUUUAAACAUCUUCAUGUAUUAGAGAAACUAGGUUUUAAUUCAUAUGUUUACACUUGUGGUCUUUAUACCUACCUCGCUGAAUUUAUUGUGGGGGUUAAUUGCAUAAAUGCAUAUAAGCUCUUAGAAGAGUGCAGGGAAAACCACUCUAUAUUCUCUUUCUUUUUUCCCUUCUCCUUCCCUCCCUUCCUUCCUUUAUUCUAAGUUCAGUGCUUCUCAAAUUUUAAUGUUCAUAAGACUGAUCUGGGAAUCUUGUUAAAAUGCAGAUAUUAAGCCAGUAGGUCUGGGGUGGGCUCCGAGAUGCUGGAUUUCUAACAAGCACCCAGGAGACCUCACCCAUGAAUGGCAACCAUUUAGGUAGUGACUUACCUGGUGGUUUAGUUACAACAGUGUCAUUAAGUCUGUAAGGUUUUAGUUAUGAUUGGGUUAUGGUUGUCUUUUACUAAUGGUCUAGAGGCCUAUGUACGAAAAGUUGCACAAUAUUAUUUUAUAUGUUUCUUGACCGUAAACUCAUUUGCAAUCUUAAGGAUUAUGUGAUGCAGCAUAGGAAUAACUGUAAAGUGUAAUCCAUGAUCUAAAGUCUACCCCAUAACUCCUCCAACCCUCCAGGUGAUUCUUAUUAUCCUUUGGGAACCAUUGAGGUACUUGGGAGAAAUGGGUGCUCUGUGAGAGUAAAAGUUUGUUUUGUAAAUUCAAAAAACAUUUUCGGUUUUGGCAAAUUCAAAAACAUAUCUGGUUUUAUUAAAAGAAAGUGUUCACAAUGAAGCCUAAUUGGUACCUCUCUGAGAAACCUCUUAAGGAUUUUACUGCAGGGAAGGUAUUUAGCGAGAUCCAGGUUCUCUCCCUGAUCAGCAAUAGGUAGCUGCUGGAACAUUGAUUGCACUGUUAUUCAUCCUGGCACAAGCUGUGACCUGCCAACCAGUGUUGCCUGUACUGUUUAUUUCAGGUGCUCGGUUGUGAAUAUUAUGCCCAAGCCUUUUCCCUCUACAAGAUUUUCAUCCAUUUUUCUUACUGUGUUGCACAUAUCCUUAGAUAUCAAUAGGAACUUAUCACUCUGAUUUAGCAUCUUUUCUUGCAUUGUACUUUGUCUUUCACUUGAUUCUCUGUAGCCCCAGCUUGACUGUACUGGUUGCUAAUAUAGGGACAACUUAAUUUGGAAAAGCAAACCAAAUAAAACUUGUGAAACAACAGCAUUUUUUGGUCUGAUCCUGCCUCUCUAAUGAUCAAUGACUAUAGAGAAAAUCCAGGUGGAAAUUAAGAUUUUAGAAUGAUUCCCUUCUGGAAAAACAAACAAGCAAACAAACUAGCAUUGCAAAGAUAAAGAGAAAAAAAUCCAGCAGCUCUACUACCUUUUUUCUGAGUGUCAUAUCCUUAAAUUUGCCUUAAGUAUAUUAUUCUAUGGCCAGUUCCCCUACCAGCUAAUUAUUUCAAAUGACCAUGAUGGAGAUACGGAUUUUCCUAUCACCUGUGUAUUUUUCACUAUGCUAACAGCUCACUUAUCCUGGGAUGUGGAUCAAAUAUAAUCAGAAGAUUGUCGUAAAUAAGGAAGCAGCUACAAUGCAUAUGUCUCGUGCAUGUAAUAGACUUACGUACCUCGUUCAUUGACAGCAACCAUAGACCUUCACUCAUUAAGAGUUUAGUUUUCUAGCUUGGGUAUCUGGUUUCCUGGCUAACAUUAUCGUAGAAGCAACAAGUUGGAAGAGAAUAAAGAUUGCUUUUAGAAUAGCUUGCUUUAUGAGUAACAUGGCAGCUUCUGGUAAGGGAGAAGGUUUUUUGAAAAGCCUGCAAAAAGACACAAAAAUGGAAAAAGAAAUUGUAAUCUUAAGUAUUUGCUCUGGAGGCAAAUGGCUGGCUAUAUAUCGGGGCUAUAUUACAAUGCAGUUCAAUCAUUAAUGGCCAUAAUAGUGUUCUAGAAUAAUUAAGACAGGCUAAACUUGUCCAUGAUUUAUUCCUAUUUUGGGAACUAGGACAUUUACUAUAUAGUCUUAAAACACUUCUAUACAAAUUGUUUUUAAAAUGUGAUAGAGGGUUUAUUUUUAAAGAAAU